UACGAAGGGGGCUAGCGUUGUUCGGAAUUACUGGGCGUAAAGCGCACGUAGGCGGACAUUUAAGUCAGGGGUGAAAUCCCAGAGCUCAACUCUGGAACUGCCUUUGAUACUGGGUGUCUUGAGUAUGGAAGAGGUGAGUGGAAUUCCGAGUGUAGAGGUGAAAUUCGUAGAUAUUCGGAGGAACACCAGUGGCGAAAGGCGGCUCACUGGUCCAUUACUGACGCUGAGGUGCGAAAGCGUGGGGGAGCAAACAGG
rnacentral:rRNA from 1 species